CCUACGGGAGGCAGCAGUGGGGAAUAUUGCACAAUGGGGGAAACCCUGAUGCAGCGAUGCCGCGUGGAGGAAGAAGGUUUUCGGAUUGUAAACUCCUGUCUUAAAGGACGAUAAUGACGGUACUUUAGGAGGAAGCUCCGGCUAACUACGUGCCAGCAGCCGCGGUAAUACGUAGGGAGCGAGCGUUGUCCGGAAUUACUGGGUGUAAAGGGAGCGUAGGCGGGAGUGCAAGUCAGGUGUGAAAACUAUGGGCUCAACCCAUAGACUGCACUUGAAACUGCAUUUCUUGAGUGAAGUAGAGGUGAGCGGAAUUCCUGGUGUAGCGGUGAAAUGCGUAGAUAUCAGGAGGAACACCGGUGGCGAAGGCGGCUUACUGGGCUUUUACUGACGCUGAGGCUCGAAAGCGUGGGGAGCAAACAGGAUUAGAUACCCUGGUAGUCCACGCUGUAAACGAUGAUUACUAGGUGUGGGGGGUACUGACCCUUCCGUGCCGCAGUUAACACAAUAAGUAAUCCACCUGGGGAGUACGGCCGCAAGGUUGAACUUAAAUGAAUUGAGNGNGNGANGCGAGCGACACGAGGAGAG
rnacentral:rRNA from 1 species